AUAAAUGCAUCACGGCAUGUAAGAUGAAUGUGAACCGCAAGCUAUUUUGUUUCCUUGUUUCAUAAAUUUGUGCCCUGACUAAUGUAAUCACUUUAUAAGUGUAAUAAAAAUAGAUGUUUUGACAGCACCUUUCUUCUCAUAUGUUCUAUCAGGUGAGUUCACUCUCCGUGCUUUUCUCAAUGGACGCUUAGAUCUUUCUCAAGCUGAAAAUGUUGGAAAACUCAUUUCAGCUAAAUCUGUCGUUGCUACUGCAAAUGCUGCAUUGGCAGGGAUCCAGGGUGGGUUUCCUGCUUUAGUCAAAUCAUUGAGAACACAGUGCAUCGAGUUGCUUGCAGAAAUUGAAGCUUGUUUGGAUUUUGAUGAUGAAAUGUCGCCCCUAGAUAUAAAUUUUUUGAUGGAUAACAUAAAUGCUGUGGCAAGAUGUGCAGAAGGCAUUGGACACUACCAGCUAUGAUAAGCUUCUACAAUCUAGAUUGCAGGAUUUUAAUCAAUUGUGCCUAAAUUUAUGCCUACAAGCACUUCAGCCUUUUGAUGCCACUCGUGCUAGGAGUAGACCACAUAGAGGAUUUGUUUAUUUAUUUAUUUAUUCAAGACCAUUUUCAAUUUAUUGUUGUAAACAUUAUAUUUUUUUAUUGUGAAGUAAUAUAAAUUUUGUUUAAUAUUUAGUUUAAAUAGUAUUGCAACAUUUUUUAUGUUUCAAUUAUU